rnacentral:lncRNA from 1 species
UAGAAGGUUAAACGCAGGGAGGGCACGGGGGUUCCAUGUAAACUUCAGUAAGUUGCAUAAACAGAGGCGGCGAUGUUUUAUGUCUCUGAUCUUUUCCAAGGACAUCUGGCCUCUGGGUUGCAGCGCAAUGCUCACUAACAGAAGCUGACUCAUUUGUGUUAUGUCUCUGAUCUUUUCCAAGGACAUCUGGCCCCUGGGUUGCAGCGUGAUGCUCACUAACAGAAGCUGACUCAGUUGUGUUUUCUGGUUUUGGGGAAUAUCUUUAAUCACCACAUGAAUGUUUAUAAACUGUUGGGGCUAAACAUGAAACUCACUCUUCAGGUGCCGUCUCCACCUAGCCACCGUGUACAUUUUCUUUCUCUCUCUUGCAGCUGUUCUCUUCCUACGGACUGAAUGAAAAAUAAAAGGAAGUCAUUUCUGCAUGUGUCACAGAGGCAUCCUUUGGUUCUAAAGGAAGCUAAGUUGGAUUCCACAAGCCCAUGGUCCUUAUAGCAUGUGAAUAGGAUUCAGUCACGGACGAGAAGGAAGAGGUUCAGGAGAGACUGUAAUCGCCCUGUCCAGGCUAACCCUCCAGCUGUGCAGGAGUAUCAAGUCCAAAAAGAAGCUCUUCAAACCAUCUGGGAAGAGAAAACAGCAUGACAAGGAAAGGUGUAUUUGUCUGAUUCUAGGAAUCAAUAUAAACAUCCAUGAUAACCCCAUCUAAUUUUUAAAUGUAUGAUUUGGAUGAAACAAGAGAAGACACUGAUUGUUGCUGAGUCCCUGCUGUAGUCCUGACACAGCUGGAGAUGCCCUGCUCUCCUUAUUUUCUUGAUGCUCAUGAGGACCCUGAUGUCUAAGGAAGAAGGUUCUCGUCCAGGUCUGCCCCUGGUGUGUCACGUGCCAGCCUUGUCAAUGCACACGAGAACCUGACAGGUUUUAUGAUUUUAGAACAUAAGUUUUAUGAUUGUUAGUGCUGGGCAACAAAAAGGAGUCCAGAGGAACGGGAGAAAAAACAACAAUAGCAAUGAUGUGAAUGCAAAACAUGAACCAGACUAAGCAGAGCAGAGGGCGGUGUGGAGCGGGAAGCAGAGACAGAAGCUUGUGAUGUUUCAGUGAUUGCUGGGAGUUAUUCAUCACCGGCUGGUCUCCUGCUUGGGUGUGCCCCAAGUCACCCACCCAGAAGUCAAAGGUCGAGCAUGCUUUCCAUGAAGUCUGGAGGUACAGAGCAAGGCAGACAGCCACGGGCGUGUCAGGAGGGCAGCGGGAAAUGCUCAUCCCCUUCUCCAAGAAGAGGGAAUCCCACCAUCCACAGGUUCUUCCUGCUCUGUCUCAAAGGCGGAGGCAGCUAGAAUACUCUGUCAAAAAGCAACCACAGGAAGAACAUAAUGUCAAUGCAUGGCUUUAUGUUAACAUAAUUACAUUUAUUCCAGACAAAGGUUUUUUGUAAAUUAAAGAUAGAUUAUGUUGCAACUUUUAUACUCCUCUGCCUAAUUUAGUGAGUAUUUGAUAUAUUCAGAUUUAUUUUAACCAAUUAGUUUUUUUUAAUAGAGGCAGGGUCUCAGUCUGUCACCUUGGCUGAAGUGCUGGUGUGAUCACAGCUCACUACAGCCUUGACCUCCUGGGCUCAAAUGAUCCUCUCACCUCAAUCUCUCAAGUAGCUGGGACUACGGACGAGCACCACCACAAUCACCUAAUUUUUUUUUUUAAUUUUUAGUAGAGACCAGGUCUCACUAACUUGCCCGGGCUGGCCUUGAACUCCUGAGUCCAAAUGAUCCUCCUGCCUUAGCCUCCCAAAGUGCCUGCAAUUACAGACAUAAGCCACCGUGCCAGCCGGCUGAUUAAAUUAAUUAUAUGUGUGCCUUAACUAAAAAAUGAGAUUGCUCAAUAUAGAGUAACUUGUUUUUCUUAUAGAAUUAUCAGAAAGUAAUGCUUUUUUGAAAUGUUGUUUCACUAAAAUAUUUUUAAUUUGUUUUCUUGGUAUUUCGUUAUGACAAUUUUUUCCUUCUACCUCAACUGCCGUACUGUCAGCAUUUCCUGAGGGUCCGAUAAGUAGGGAAAUGCACCAAGAAGCAACGUGGACCAAGCAAUAAAAAUAAACAAAUAAAAGAAGAAAAUCCCACUGCAAAAAAGUCUGAAACAGAAUUCUUGACUCCCCGACAUUCAUCCCUGCCUCAGCCUGUCCCCCAUUUCACCCUCCUUAUUUCCACACAGGGCUGUGCAUCCCUACUCGCUCAGAUCUAAAACUCUACACCCUAUGCCCAACUCCUCUUUCCUGCACACUUCCUACCAGCCCAUCAGAAAGCCUGCUGACUCCUCUCCUGAAGCACUGCGUGAGGGUGACCCCUCCUCCCUGUGAGCACCGCAACAGCCCCAGUGGAACCACCAUCCCGGCCCCGAUGCAACUGUUUCCCCACAGGGUCCCCACACAUAGCCAUGGUGUAUCCCCUCCAAAACACCCACUCUGCCUGAACACUUCCCCAGCUCUUUAUAUGACUGCCUUCAUUGUAUCAUUCAUCUCUUACCUCAAUUGAACUUCCUCAAAGAAGUGUCCUCACUUAUUCUACAUAUGACAACAUGAGUAACAUCACUCCUUUCCCCAGACUCACUCGUCAUUCCAUUGCAUUUCCCAUUUUCUACAGUGAUCACAAAGUCUGUAUCUAAUUGGAAAAUACUUAUCUGCUUUACUUAUCAUCUGCUUUAAUUUUUAAGUUUUCUUUUUUCUUCUGGACAUCAACUUCCAUGUUGAUGGACGCUGUUGAGCAUUUCCUAGGAAGUGUUUAGGUUUGAGCUGCAAGAGCUGCCUUGUCCAAGACUGAUUUCCACAGGCUGGUCUCCUGCAAAGCCUCAUGGCUAUGGCCAAGUGCUUAAGCUCAGAUGGGGUGGUGAAUUGGUGAAUUACACCAGAACCCUGCCAUGCCAUAGAAGCUACAACUGCAAGGUUAGAAGCUCAGUGCCGUGAUCUGGCCAAGUGUUGAAACUCAGAUGGGGUGGUGAAUUGGUGAAUCAUGUCACGACCCUUCCAUGCCGUAGAAGCCACAACUACAAGGCUAGGAACCCAGUGUCCUGUUGAGAGACAGGACUAGCUGGAUUUCCUAGGCCAACUAAGAAUCCCUAAGCCUAGCUGGGAAGGUGACCACAUCCACCUUUAAACACGGGGCUUGCAACUUAGCUCACACCCGACCAAUCAGGUAGUAAAGAGAGCUCACUAAAAUGCUAAUUAGGCAAAAACAGGAGGUAAAGAAAUAGCCAAUCAUCUAUCACCUGAGAGCACAGUGGGAGGGACAAUGAUUGGGAUAUAAACCCAGGCAUUUGAGCCGGCAAUGGCUACGCUCUCUGGGUCCCCUGCCUUUGUAUGGGAGCUCUGUUUUCACUCUAUUAAAUCUUGCAACUGCACACUCUUCUGGUACAUGUUUGUUACGGCUCGAGCUGAGCUUUCACUCACCAUCCACCACGGCUGUUUGUCGCUGAUGCAGACCUGCCACUGACUUCCACCCCUCCGGAUCUGACAGGGUGUCUGCUGUGCUUCUGAUCCAGUGAGGCACCCGUUGCUGCUCCGGAUCAGGCUAAAGGCUUGCCAUCGUUCCUGCACGGCUAAGUGCCCAGGUUCAUCCUAAUCGAGCUGAACACUAGUCGCUGUGUUCCACGGUUCUCUUCCAUGACCCACAGUUUCUAAUAGAGCUAUAACACUCACCACAUGGCCCAAGAUUUUCCAUUCCUUGGAAUCCGUGAGGCCAAGAACCCCAGUUCAGAGAACAAGAGGCUUGCCGCCAUCUUGGAAGUGGCCUGCCACCAUCUUGGCAGCUCUGGGAGCAAGGAACCCUGGUAACAUUCUGGUAACCAUGAAGGGACCUCCAAAGUGGUUUGUCUGUUCCAGAACUGAAGAUGUAAAACUACAAAUGGUUCUUCAAAUGGAGCCCCAGAUGUAGUCCAUGACUAAGAUCUACCAUGGACCCCUGGACUGGCCUGCUAGCCCAUGCUCCAAUGUUGAUGACAUCGAAGGCACCCCUCCCGAGGAAAUCUCAACUGCAUGACCCCUACUAUGCCCCAAUUCAACAGGAAGCAGUUAGAGCAGUUGUCAGCCAACCUCCCCAACAGCACUUGGGUUUUCCUGUUGAGAGGGGGCACUGAGAGACAGGACUAGCUGGAUUUCCUAGGCCAACUAAGAAUCCCUAAGCCCAGCUGGGAAGGUGACUGCAUCCACCUUUAAACACGGGGCUUGCAACUUAGCUCACACCCGACCAAUCAGGUAGUAAAGAGAGCUCACUAAAAUGCUAAUUAGGCAAAAACAGGAGGUAAAGAAAUAGCCAAUCAUCUAUCACCUGAGAGCACAGUGGGAGGGACAAUGAUUGGGAUAUAAACCCAGGCAUUUGAGCCGGCCAUGGUAACCCCCUUUGGGUCCCCUCCCAUUUUAUGGGAGCUCUGUUUUCACUCUAUUAAAUCUUGCAACUGCACACUCUUCUGGUCCGUGUUUGUUACGGCUCGAGCUGAGCUUUCGCUCACCGUCCACCAGUGCUGUUUGUCGCUGUUGCAGACCCACCACUGACUUCCACCCCUCCGGAUCCAACAGGGUGUCUGCUGUGCUCCUGAUCCAGUGAGGCACCCAUUGCUGUGCUGGACUGGGCUAAAGGCUUGCCAUUGUUCCUGCAUGGCUAAGUGCCCAGGUUCAUCCUAAUCGAGCUGAACACUAGUCACUGGGUUCCACGGUUCUCUUCUGUGACCCAUGGCUUCUUUUUUUUUUUUUUUUUUUUGAGAUGGAGUCUUGCUCUGUUGCCCAGGCUGGAGUGCAGUGGUGCCAUCUCAGCUUACUGCAAGCUCUGCCUCCCGGGUUCACGCCAUACUCCUGGCCACCAUGCCUGGCCUGACCCACAGCUUCUAAUAGAGCUAUAACACUCACCACAUGGCCCAAGAUUCCGUUCCUUGGAAUCCAUGAGGCCACGAACCCCAGGUCAGAGAACAAGAGGCUUGCCGCCAUCUUGGAAGUGGCCCACAACCAUCUUGGGAGCUCUGGGAGCAAGGACCCCCUGGUAAGACUGUCAUAUCAGGAGAGAGGCCGUUGCUUUUCUGAUUCUGCAGUUUUAUUGCCCAAUAUCUCCAGAGUUUGCCUCCUACCUAGAAUCUUCCUACAGCUACCUGUGAACCACACCUGUAGCUGACUGCUGCUCCCAGGGGGCAAAUUAUCCCAACAAAACUUAGGAGUGCCUUUGUUUGACAAUGUCUUUAACUAGAUUUGGGAUGCAAUAUCACAUAUAAAGAUUUUGCAGCCACUCUACAUAUCACUAUUAUAUUAAAUUCUUAUUGUUUUGUUGUUCUUAUAUGACUGAAUUUCACCAUUAGGGUGUCUUCUCUAUUCCUGGUAACUUUGAAAGCAGUAAUUUCUCAACAAAUAUUUGUGAAAAAAAUGAAAGAAUGAAAAACAAAGUAUGGUGAGGGCACAUUUUUAUGGCUUUUGCCCCUUCAAUUUUUUUUGUACAUAAAUAAGAUAAAGUAAAACCAUUUAAAACAAUUUCAAAACAUUAAUAGACAUGCACUCUUCAGUAUAUGAAAAUUUACUGACAUAUUAUUGAGUAAAGCAAGCAUAUCCAGGCAUAUUCAACUACACCCAGAGUAACAUCUCAUUAGGGUAAAGUAACAUAUAGAUAUAUGCAAACAGAGAUGUCUAGAAAACUGUUCACCAAAACUAACAGGGAUAUCUAGGGUGGUGGAAUUUUAAGUGAGUUUUUCUUUGUGCUUGAUUAAAGUUAUUUGGGUUUUUUGCAAUUAUAUGCAAAAUUUUAUUUUAAAAGAAAAGUUAUUUACAGAGUUCCACCUCUGGUAUGGAAAAGAAAGCUUUGAAUAUUCAAUUGGAAACUCUAAAUUCUGAAUAUAUAAAAGCAACUACCUGAAAGGUCUGAAGAAUAAAAAAAUUGUUACUGGUAGAAGGUGUCCAGGUGCUUGGCAUCUUGAAGCAAGAAUUGGACAAAACACACAAACGAACUGUGGAAAGCAAAAGCAGGGAUUUGUUGAGCGUGAAAGUACCCUCCACAGUGCGGGAGUGGGCGGGCAUAGAGGCUCAAGAGCCCCACUUACAAAAUUUUCUGGGGCUUCAAUACUCUAGACGUUUCCCGUUGGUUACUUGGCGAAUAUUUUAUGUAAAUGAAGAGAGUGAAGUGAAGUCACAGAGUCUUUUACUCAGAAUGUGCCCUAUUGUAAAUGGAAAGGAUGUUACUUGGUGUGUGUGGUCUAUGUAAAUGGAGAGGAUGAAUCUGAAGUUACAAAGCCAUUCACAUUCCUGUCAUUGCUGAAGUGCUUUCAUUUGAUUUAGUUCUAGGAAGUCAGCAUGGAUCAACCUUAUGUUCCCUGCUGCCAGACCCUAUUCUCCUACCUCAAAAUGACAACAGAUUUUGAAAGAGUAACAAAAUAUGAAAGAAGUUAUCAGCACAAUGUAAGCUUCCCAUUUUUGUGGCUUUGUCCUGAGGGAAGGCCAUGAAUAUAGUGUAAUUCGGGGUUGCUAAAACUUCACUGAAAAGCACAUUGCCUUUCUGGCCUGGGAAAGACCCAGGUGGCAGCAGCCACUGGGAAUUGAAGGUGAAUCUGGGAGAGGAGAGCGUUGGAGAGGUGAGCAUUUGUUCAUUUGUUCUGUUGUAAACUCUGCCAGUCUCUGGCUAACAUGCAACGUGUGGGCAGGACAGGCUCAGGGCUAAGGGAGUAAACAGAUAUGU